CAGUAUAUGUCUAAAUGCUAUUGUUAUUGCUAUUUGCUUUCCACCUUUGGAACUGGAAAAAAUAAAAAUAAAAAGCCUGUGGGCAGCAGUUGAGCAACAGAAGGCAAUAGAGACUGCUGCAUGAUCCACCCAUGCCUAAUGUGAGAAUUUGAAGUGGCUUCCUCCUCAAAAUAUCUUAUGAUUCAGCAAUCAGAGUCAGACAAAAUUUUGUACAAAGCUGGCCAUGGCUUGGUGAACAAACCAUAGUAAAACUGAUAAUCAUUUAGUGGGAUAUGUGAAGCUGCCAAUAUCUCUAUGGAUCCUGUUAGUGUGCCAUCUUCCUUGCUCAACUCUUGCUUUGAGCUGUCUCAUUCAUGCUUUGCCUAGUUCAGCACACAGUGGGCUGACCAUUAUUAACAGUUACUUUCUGGAGAUGAAAUUGGCAAGACCCCAUAUCUGAACAGAAGGUAACUGGGACAUGCCAAGGGGAGACAAAGGUCUUGUUGCUGCAUCACUGCUCAGGGACAUCAAGCACCAUAGUAUGAGAAAAUGUACAACCUACGACUUAUAUGUUUGCUCUUUGACUGAUAACAUUCAAGUAACAGAUUCCUGCAUUAUUUUCCUCUGGCAAAACAAAACAUUUCUUCAACAAGCCCAUGUGACAUGGGCUUAAAUAACUUUUAAAAAUAAAGAUUACUACUUUAAAAAUAGAAGCUUAAAAUGCCUUCAAAACAGUGGUCAAAGUUAUUAUAAAUACAUCUACUGGGAAUGAUUACUGAUGGGAAAAAUGGAAUCUCCAUAUUCCACAGCAAAUCUGUCUAAGCAUGUAAACAAGAUAUCAGUUUCAUAACUUGUGCCUCCGUUUCCUUGAAGAAUCUGACCAAUUAUUAUAAAAAGCAAGAUGCUGGAUUAGAUGAUAUGCUUUACUUUUGAGUGUAAUCCAGCAAAGCUCUUCAUAAGAAGAUUUCCCCUGAGACAAGUGUUGAUGAUUUGGAUAUAGUUUGUCUUACAGUUUAAAAAAAAACUUUUACCAGAGGGAAAGGCGCUUCAAAAUGAUACGUUAUGCAACAUACAAAAAGAACAACUUUCUGCUCCAGCUUGAGAUGCUGGUGUUUUCCCUCUUUGGGAUUGCAUCAUUCAUUCAUUGUGCAUUGCAAAAGGACCCAGCACCACUGCAAAAAGAGAAUCAACCAGCAGAGGGUUUGGAAGCCAAUUCUUUGUGUUAGCUGUCAGUUUGAAGAAGCUGCAAAAUCGGAGGGGAAAAAAGAAGAAAGGAAAGGAAAUGGAAAUACGUUCCCUGAAUUUAAACUCCCAGCAACUUACAGUAUGGUGGUGUCCUUUGCAAUUUUGGACGUCAGUGCCAGCUACCUCCUGACUGUGGAGCCGAGAGAAGGAUCAGAGAAGUCCUUCAGUCACAUAAGAUGCAAAAGCACCAAA